CGCAGGCACGCAGCUCAAAAGAGGCGUGUCGUUUCUACUAAUUGUUGGUGUCUGUGCUAUCAGUUCAACUUCUUCAGCCUGAAGAGGCGUUCGAAAAUGUGGUGGAGGCGCCGGGUUGAAAUCGACUACGCGAAAAAUGAACAAAGUCUAUUUCUGAACACUUAACGUUUCGCCAACUGCAACAUAAGGAAGAGCUUGAACUUUUGAUUGCACGGUUCUUGACUCAGGAGCUGGCAGAUUUCUACAUUUUGAUUUGUUGGAGCAAGAAUAUUAGCCUCGUGGCCAACUUGGUUUGUGAGGUGGUGAGGAUAAAGCUGAAAAUGAGUCAAGAGGACCAAGACCUCCUCGCACCGUUGCACCAAAAGCAAAUUUGGGUCUUUGACGUACUGCAGCUGGAAUAAUUACUGCCCUUCCUUUAAUAAUCUGUGAAUAAAGAUUUGGACGAACUGAUGCAAUCACCUUGGCUGUCUGUCACAUCAUUGGAACGGUGCAGCACUUCUCCUGUCACACUGACCUGACUGCGUGCGGUUCGGAUGACUGCAGUGUCAGGUUCUUUUCAAAUCGAGGAGGGUGGAAUGUGACGUGGCCUGCUUUUCACAGGAAGCUGCCUUCAUGCAUCCUCAAAAAUGACUUGAGGAGUCAUUUUUAACAACACCUUUUUUCUGCAAUUUUUACUCACACAUUUUAUAAGUAGUCUUAUUGUGUUGUGUAAUGUUUCGCAGUUACAACUGCAUGUCUGCCAAAGGGCCAAUAUGUUUUUAUUUUAUGGAUGCUAAGCAUUUUUCUUUCCACAGAUGAACACUUGAGAAAAAGAAACUCAUAACGUCCAUAAUAUUUGGGCUAGCGUUAUAAUUUCAGAGGUUGAAAUGGGCAUAAGGAGAGAAGUCCACAUAAAUAUUUGAUAGAGUGAUGAUAGUUUUCUGGUGUUAAGCAGCGUUGAGCUUUUUCUGUAGUAAACUCAUAAGGAGAGGAAAAUGCUUAUCACGUCUAUUAAAUCCAAAUGAUUGGUCUGAUCGUUGUAAUAUUAUCAGGUUGAAGCUGCAAUGAGUAGAGAUGUCCACGUGAAUGGUGGUGGUGAUUGGUGACAGUUUUGAGACAUUAAGCCACAUAUAUGAUUCCUUGGGUUGAUGAGGCUUGCAAAGAUGUGGCAUUCGACUGCCAUGUUUGUAUCAUUUUAAUCGGUGACACCCUAAUAAAUUGGUGAUUUUGCAGCAUAUUAAGAUGGCGAUUGAACAUAAUUUUGGGGUGCUAGCUGUUGCUCAUGUGAGAGUGCAACGAUACAUGACAGCAACAUAAUACCAACUUGAACAAAAACAUGGAAAGUCAAGCAAGCUGUCAUUUUUUAUGUCAUGAAAAGUUGUCAUUUUGGAGGCAAGAGGAUUCCAGUCAACAGCUAUGAUAUAAAAUAUGAGGUGUAGAAGCAGAUGUGAAGAUGUCUGGCCUGCGAUGAGACAGCUGGAGAAAAGAGCCCAAGCCCGGGAAGUAUGGAGAGCCUUUGUUCUCGGCCUAUGCUCAAAAUUGGACAUCGUCGGCAUAAGUAAGUCAAGGUUAUAGUGCAUUUCAGGUUCAUCUGAAAUGUUCACUGAAAGCUGACUAUCCCUAACAUUUUGUAAGCAGUUUAUGGGUGACACGUCCCAAAAAAAUUGAAGUCUCAAAAGCACAUAAUGCAUUAGAGUUUCUUAGGAUCCGACCUGUACAUAUCAGUUGUUUUGAAAUUCAAUUGUGCCAGCCACGUCCUGGCCAUCCAACUGCUACAUCACAAACUGAACAAGGAGGUGGAGAAGGGAUGACAGCCCGACUCCAACGUGCUGCCUCAGAGAUACAGUCUGGGCUGCCCAAGAUGUGUUUCUUUCCGUGAGAGUCUUAAGGAAAGGUACUGACAAAUGUCCUCAAAUGUCUGCCUUGACAUCCUGAAUUUGUGGACAAAAUGUGCUUCGAAUGUCCUCGUCACAGUCACUCCUGGUUCUGACUGCGCAUCCAUCUCCACCUCUGAGCAAAUGUCGCAGCUACAAAAACGCCGUAAAAAAAACAAAACGUUGUUCUCUUCAUCCUCAAUUUCCCAGAAGUUUUGUUGGCUUCCACUGCACAGCAACAUGUUUCCUUCAGUAGCAUCAUUCCUUAUGUUGUAAAUAUAUGGAGGUGACACAGAUGCACACCAUGUCAUAUAUUUAAUUGAAGUUUACCUGAAGAAUCUAGUUUGCCAUCAGUAUUUUUUUUAACUUCUUAUUUUAGUCAACCUACCAUGCAUGUUUUUGGGAUGUGGGAGGAAACCGGAGUGCCCGGAGAAAACCCACGCAGGUACGGGGAGAACAUGCAAACAUCCACAUCCACACAGGCGGGGCUGGGAUUUGAACCCGAGUCCUCAGAACUGUGAGGCAGUCGUCCACCGUGCCGCCACUAUAAGUCUAACCCUUUCAAAAUGGUUAGACUUGGCUUUCACAGUUCCAUAGGCUCCAGCAUGCCCGCGUCCCUCGUGAGGAAAAGCGGUACAGAAAAUGGAUGGAUGGAUGGAUGGCUAGACGCAUAGUUACACUUUUUAACACAUAAAAUAAAAUUGACUUUUGAACAGUUUCAUCUUUGGAAUUUGGGACUUUUUUUUAAUGGAACAUUCAUUUUUCUGGGCUUUUAUAUGUAGCAAUAUUGUCCUAAUUUGUCAAUAGGUCAACAUAAUAUGGUUUGGUGGUUUUCUACAUGCUGUACACAUAUAAUGCAAAAAACAACAACACAUUUUUAUAAGGUAUUUGCAUUUCAUCAUGUUUUGUUUUCAGUUUAUUAUUUGUGUAAAGAACAAAUAUUUAGUUAAUUCGAAAA